rnacentral:misc_RNA from 1 species
AAACAAGAUCAACUCUAGUUGAGAGUUGGGAUUGGUCUUAUACAUCUAGUGGUGUAUUUGACUUGAUUAUAUCGAGUUGAUGAGCUUCCCAAUGCGGCUCAAUGUGUGCUAGCGAGACAGUCGUCCCGAUCUCACAUUUAUUGUCGCAUUGCAGAGUUCUGUCCACAGCUCGCUAAACAACCUAAAAAUCAUAUCAA